AUUGAACGCUGGCGGCAGGCCUAACACAUGCAAGUCGAACGAGUGGCGGACGGGUGAGUAAUGUCUGGGCACCUGCCUGAUGGAGGGGGAUAACUACUGGAAACGGUAGCUAAUACCGCAUACCAUCGGAUGUGCCCAGAUGGGAUUAGCUAGUAGGUGGGGUAAAGGCUCACCUAGGCGACGAUCCCUAGCUGGUCUGAGAGGGUGACAAGCCACACUGGAACUGAGACACGGUCCAGACUCCUACGGGAGGCAGCAGUAGGGAAUAUUGCGCAAUGGGCGCAAGCCUGAUGCAGCCAUGCCGCGUGUGUGAAGAAGGCCUUCGGGUUGUAAAGUACUUUCGUCAGGGAGGCGGUACCCGCAGAAGAAGCACCGGCUAACUCCGUGCCAGCAGCCGCGGUAAUUC
rnacentral:rRNA from 1 species